GAUGAACGCUGGCGGCGUGCCUAAUACAUGCAAGUCGAGCGAACGGACGAGAAGCUUUCUUCUCUGAUGUUAGCGGCGGACGGGUGAGUAACACGUGUAUAACCUACCUAUAAUACUGGGAUAACUUCGGGAAACCGGAGCUAAUACCGGAUAAUAUUUUGAACCGCAUGGUUCAAAAGUUAAAUACGCUCUUGCUGUCACUUUUACAUGGAUCCGCGCUGCAUUAGCUAGUUGGUAAGGUAACGGCUUACCAAGGCAACGAUGCAUAGCCGACCUGAGAGGGUGAUCGGCCACACUGGAACUGAGCCACGGUCAAGACUCCUAAGGGAGGCAGCAGUAGGGAAGCUUCCGCAAUGGGCGAAAGCCUGAAGGAGCAACGCCGAGUGAGUGAUGAAGGUCUUAGGAUCGUAAAACUCUGUUAUUAGGGAAGAACAUAUGUGUAAGUAAAUGUGCACAUCUUGACGGUAACUAAUCAGAAAGCCACGGAUAACUACGUG
rnacentral:rRNA from 1 species